CAGAAACCUCAUUCCAAUACAAGACCAUCCUGGUGAAGUAUUUAAUGGUACCUGAAAUCGUGAUCACAUUGUAUAUGGAUCCGUAUUUAACUGAUGUUACUAUAGAAUAAAAAUGUAAUUUUAAUGUAAUUGCUGCCAUUUUUUUGAAAAUUUGCGAAAAUUUCAUCAGACGCUUUGAUUGUUGAAAUCAAACUUCUCAAGAACUCAGCAGGCAAUAAUAUAUCCUAAAGAAACUAUUAAUGAAUCUGUGUUUUUGUGGC